CAAUACAUAGUUAAGAGAAUUUUGUCUGUAGUUCAUUAUUUAGCUCAGGGAUUGAGAGCUGUGUGGUGAAUGGCUUUCUCAUUUUUUGCAGCCGAAGGUUAGUUCAAGCUUUUAACUGCUAUCACGGGUUGGCAGCCCAGCUCCACUUGGCGUCUUCUCUUUCCAUUUGUUAGAUGCUACCUGCUAUCAGCAUCGGUGCUCAGGUUUGCCAGCGGCUCUCAGGGAUUCUGGGUAGCCUCACGCAAUGCAGCUAUUAUGUGCAGUUCCACAGCCAUUCCAAAUCACUUCAGUCUAACAUUACCCCAGAACAACAAAGGCAACUUGGCACAAACCUACCCCGGUCCAUGGGUGCACCAAUGUGUAAAGUGAUUUUAAUAAAAUUUUUAUGCAGAAUCCCUUAGGUGAUUGUGAGGGAAAUAAACCUUUACCCUGUGUAAGAUCCAAAUCGUCUGCCUCUCUCUCACUGUGUGAGGAUGAAGAUUCUGCUGGAAACUGGAGGAGCUGUUGCUUUCUCCUGCUCUCUGUUAUUCAUGUUUUCCAGGCCUGGGAACAGAUGGGCACCACCUGACUCAGAAGAGUCUAAUGUACGAUUCACUGUGCUUCACAGGAAAUCAAGCAACAAUGCAGAAGGCGAUGCAGCACCUCAGCAACCAGUCACACACAGUAGGGAAAAUUUACUGAAUCCUGGGUUAAGAAUAUGCCUCUCUCUGAUAAUUGACAUUUGAAUGGGAACUUCCACCCAUCCCAAGGACUGAAUGAGAGCACCUGCAGUAGAAGUAAGGUACCUAGUUCAUGGACACCUUUUGGAAAGAAACCAGGUCUAUUGGACACCGAUCUGCUGUUACCUGGAGGAAAUGGAAAUUAGGCCAAUGAUGCUUCAAGAGACUGUUGAGUGAAUAGACAAAGCUGCACAGGGUGUAUAUCCUGCACUUGUCAACACUCUACAGUGAGCUUUUAAGACCCCAUUUCUUGGCAUAUAAAUUCAGUGUGUGAAAUAUUACAGAGUUCCUCUUUGUAUUUGAAACUACAGUCGUGGAGAGAGUGGGAGAGGGAGAGUGCAUCAUGAAAAAAUAACCAUCGCCUGACAAAUUGGCCAGAGAUCGAACUUCCCAAGCGUUGCACUAA